rnacentral:rRNA from 1 species
GAGUUUGAUCGUGGCUCAGAUUGAACGCUGGCGGCAUGCCUUACACAUGCAAGUCGAGCGGCAGCGCGGGGGCAACCCUGGCGGCGAGCGGCGAACGGGUGAGUAGUGCAUCGGAACGUGUCCUCUUGUGGGGGAUAACCAGUCGAAAGACUGGCUAAUACCGCAUGAGAUCGAGAGAUGAAAGCAGGGGACCGCAAGGCCUUGCGCGAGAGGAGCGGCCGAUGCCGGAUUAGCUAGUUGGUGGGGUAAAGGCCUACCAAGGCGACGAUCCGUAGCUGGUCUGAGAGGACGACCAGCCACACUGGGACUGAGACACGGCCCAGACUCCUACGGGAGGCAGCAGUGGGGAAUUUUGGACAAUGGGGGAAACCCUGAUCCAGCCAUGCCGCGUGUGUGAAGAAGGCCUUCGGUUGUAAG